rnacentral:rRNA from 3 species
GGUUGACCUCGGAUUAGGUAGAAUA